CCAUAUUGUAAUGAAAGCAAGCAGGUGAAGUGGGUCAGCACCGUGGAGCUCUCAGAGCUGGGAUCCCAUGAGGUUUAAUGUCACUGCAGACACCAAGCUCUCAACUCUGCGUCCACCAUGCUUCAUAGCUGACGCCUUCUGUUUGCUUACCUUCCUGCGGUCGCUCCACACCCUGACCAGGACCGCCCACCUCCCUGUGCAAACCUGGUGUCCAGUCCUGCCCCUGACCCCCUGUGACCAUGAGCAAGUCCAGCAGCCCAGGGGUCUCUGAGCAAAGCUGCCCUCCCCACAGCCCUUGCUUUGUGUCUGGACCCCUCACAGGCGAGUUUCUGUAGACCCACCCCUCUGGCUGCAUCCUCCGAGUGGAUCCCUCUCAGGGUGCAGGGGCACAGCAGCCACUUUGGAGCACAGAGGUGACCUUUGCUCCCCACCGCCGACAGCACAGACUCAGCUCUCAGAGGCCUUGGGGAGCAGGGACGAGAGUUUGCUCAUUCUCUGCUGCUCACCCUUCCUGCAAGCACCCGAGGCCUCUGCUUCUCGACGGACCCACCAUAGCCAGGCAGCCAGCUCUGGGAGGCAGGGUCCUGGUGCUCAUUCUGUCUCCAUCUCUCUGUGUGUAUCUCUCUCUGUGUCUCUCUGUCUCUGUCUGUCUGUCUUUGUCUCUGUCUCUAUCUCUCUGCCUCUGUCUCUCUCUCUGUCUCUGUCUCUCUCUCUCUCUGUCUCUCUCUCAGUGCAGCGCCCUCCACCAGGGGAGCCUUUGCACUUCCCGUGGCCAGGAGCACAGGCAGACUCAGAGGAGGGAUGCAGGGGGCAGGCUUGCUUUGGGGGCACCUGUUAUAUUUUCUGCUCUGUUCCCUGUACAUGUCACUCUGGCACUGAGGGUCCUGGGACCGCCUCCCUGCUGGUGGAAGUCCACUAUCCAGUCCCACAGCUGGAAAGAGCAGAGCUGACACUGUGCUCCGGCUGUCACCUCGGCCACAAAGGGCCUUUGCCGGGCCCAGUUCAGACAUGGCAACAUUGGCAAGGGUGGCGUUUCUUGAGAUGUAAGUGAGGGGUCUCCAGGAGGGGGAGCCAGGGGCACCAGGGGGCACCCAGCCCCAGAUGGCCCUCAGGGUGCUGCCAUUGAUGUUCAUGGUGACAAAGGCAUGAGGCUGUGACAGUGGGAGCCCCCUUUAGGCAG
rnacentral:lncRNA from 1 species